rnacentral:rRNA from 1 species
AUGCACGCUGGCGGCGUGCCUCACCCCUGCCAGUCGCGCGGCAGCGGGGGGUGCUUGCACCCUGUCGGCGAGCGGCGGACGGCUGAGUAACGCGUGGGAACGUGCCCCAAAGUGAGGAAUAACUGCCCGAAAGGGUAGCUAAUACCGCAUAUUAUCUUCGGAUCAAAGGAUUUAUCCGCUUUGGGAGCGGCUCGCGUCGGAUUAGGUAGUUGGUGAGGUAAUGGCUCACCAAGCCGACGAUCCGUAGCUGGUCUGAGAGGAUGACCAGCCAGACUGGAACUGAGACACGGUCCAGACUCCUACGGGAGGCAGCAGUGAGGAAUCUUCCACAAUGGGCGAAAGCCUGAUGGAGCAACGCCGCGUGCAGGACGAAGGCCUUCGGGUUGUAAACUGCUUUUAUAAGUGAGGAAUAUGACGGUAACUUAUGAAUAAGGAUCGGCUAACUACGUG